rnacentral:rRNA from 1 species
GACGGAGGGUGCGAGCGUUGUCCGGAAUUAUUGGGCGUAAAGGGCUCGUAGGCGGUUUGUCGCGUCGGGAGUGAAAACUCAGGGCUUAACCCUGAGCCUGCUUCCGAUACGGGCAGACUAGAGGUAUGCAGGGGAGAACGGAAUUCCUGGUGUAGCGGUGAAAUGCGCAGAUAUCAGGAGGAACACCGAUGGCGAAGGCAGGUCUCUGGGCAUUAACUGACGCUGAGGAGCGAAAGCAUGGGGAGCGAACAGG